rnacentral:rRNA from 1 species
GACGAACGCUGGCGGCGUGCUUAACACAUGCAAGUCGAGCGGAAAGGCCAUUUCGGUGGUACUCGAGCGGCGAACGGGUGAGUAACACGUGAGUAAUCUGCCCCUGGCUUUGGGAUAGCCACCGGAAACGGUGAUUAAUACCGAAUAUGCACUGCUUCUCGCAUGGGUUGUGGUGGAAAGUUUUUCGGCCAGGGAUGUGCUCGCGGCCUAUCAGCUUGAUGGUGAGGUAAUGGCUCACCAUGGCUUCGACGGGUAGCCGGCCUGAGAGGGUGACCGGUCACACUGGGACUGAGACACGGCCCAGACUCCUACGGGAGGCAGCAGUGGGGAAUAUUGGACAAUGGGCGGAAGCCUGAUCCAGCAACGCCGCGUGAGGGAUGACGGCCUUCGGGUUGUAAACCUCUUUCAGCAGGGACGAAGCGCAAGUGACGGUACCUGCAGAAGAAGCACCGGCCAACUACGUGCCAGCCGCCGCGGUAAGAC